GUAUUUACCUUAGGAAAAGAUGCCACUAGCGGCUUAAAAGGGAAUCCGGUGUGAAUCUGGAACUGCCCCCGCAACUGUAAAUGCUGACGAAAUGAGCAAGCCACUGUAUGAGAGAGUUUAUGAACAUAGACGCUUAUACGGGAAGGACUCAGGAGUAGGAUGAAGCAUAAGUCAGGAGACCUGUCUUUCUUAAGAAAGUUUC
rnacentral:ncRNA from 2 species